UGCGGUAGGGGAGACUGGAAUUCCCGGUGUAACGGUGGAAUGUGUAGAUAUCGGGAAGAACACCAAUGGCGAAGGCAGGUCUCUGGGCCGUUACUGACGCUGAGGAGCGAAAGCGUGGGGAGCGAACAGGAUUAGAUACCCUGGUAGUCCACGCCGUAAACGGUGGAUGCUGGAUGUGGGGCCCGUUCCACGGGUUCCGUGUCGGAGCUAACGCGUUAAGCAUCCCGCCUGGGGAGUACGGCCGCAAGGCUAAAACUCAAAGAAAUUGACGGGGGCCCGCACAAGCGGCGGAGCAUGCGGAUUAAUUCGAUGCAACGCGAAGAACCUUACCUGGGCUUGACAUGUUCCCGACAGCCGUAGAGAUGCGGCCUCCCUUCGGGGCGGGUUCACAGGUGGUGCAUGGUCGUCGUCAGCUCGUGUCGUGAGAUGUUGGGUUAAGUCCCGCAACGAGCGCAACCCUCGCCCCGUGUUGCCAGCGGAUUAUGCCGGGAACUCACGGGGGACCGCCGGGGUUAACUCGGAGGAAGGUGGGGAUGACGUCAGAUCAUCAUGCCCCUUACGUCCAGGGCUUCACGCAUGCUACAAUGGCCGGUACAACGGGAUGCGACACGGCGACAUGGAGCGGAUCCCUGAAAACCGGUCUCAGUUCGGAUUGGAGUCUGCAACCCGACUCCAUGAAGGCGGAGUCGCUAGUAAUCGCGGAUCAGCAACGCCGCGGUGAAUGCGUUCCCGGGCCUUGUACACACCGCCCGUCAAGUCAUGAAAGUGGGUAGCACCCGAAGCCGGUGGCCCAACCUUUUGGGGGGAGCCGUCUAAGGUGAGACUCGUGAUUGGGACUAAGUCGUAACAAGUUAGCCGUACCGGAAGGUGCGGCUG
rnacentral:rRNA from 1 species